rnacentral:rRNA from 1 species
AAUGCGUAGAUGACGGUACCUGCAGAAUAAGCACCGGCUAACUACGUGCCAGCAGCCGCGGUAAUACGUAGGGUGCAAGCGUUAAUCGGAAUUACUGGGCGUAAAGCGUGCGCAGGCGGUUCGGAAAGAAAGGUGUGAAAUCCCAGGGCUUAACCUUGGAACUGCAUUUUUAACUACCGGGCUAGAGUGUGUCAGAGGGGGGUGGAAUUCCGCGUGUAGCAGUGAAAUGCGUAGAUAUGCGGAGGAACACCGAUGGCGAAGGCAGCCCCCUGGGAUAACACUGACGCUCAUGCACGAAAGCGUGGGGAGCAAACAGGAUUAGAUACCCUGGUAGUCCACGCCCUAAACGAUGUCAACUAGCUGUUGGGGCCUUCGGGCCUUAGUAGCGCAGCUAACGCGUGAAGUUGACCGCCUGGGGAGUACGGUCGCAAGAUUAAAACUCAGAUGA